GAUGAACGCUAGCGAUAGGCUUAACACAUGCAAGUCGAGGGGCAGCAUGGUCUUAGCUUGCUAAGACUGAUGGCGACCGGCGCACGGGUGCGUAACGCGUAUGCAACUUGCCUCACAGAGGGGGAUAACCCGUCGAAAGACGGACUAAUACCGCGUACACUCCAUCUUGGGCAUCCAAGGUAGAGGAAAUGAAUUUCGCUGUGAGAUAGGCAUGCGUCCCAUUAGCUAGUUGGUGAGGUAACGGCUCACCAAGGCGACGAUGGGUAGGGGAACUGAGAGGUUGAACCCCCACACUGGUACUGAGACACGGACCAGACUCCUACGGGAGGCAGCAGUGAGGAAUAUUGGUCAAUGGGCGAGAGCCUGAACCAGCCAAGUCGCGUGAAGGAUGACUGUCUUAUGGAUUGUAAACUUCUUUUAUACGGGAAUAACAAGAGUCACGUGUGGCUCCCUGCAUGACCGAUGAUAAGCUCGCA
rnacentral:rRNA from 1 species